CUUGCUUCUCUUGAGAGCGGCGGACGGGUGAGUAAUGCCUAGGAAUCUGCCUGGUAGUGGGGGAUAACGUUCGGAAACGGACGCUAAUACCGCAUACGUCCUACGGGAGAAAGCAGGGGACCUUCGGGCCUUGCGCUAUCAGAUGAGCCUAGGUCGGAUUAGCUAGUUGGUGGGGUAAUGGCUCACCAAGGCGACGAUCCGUAACUGGUCUGAGAGGGUGAUCAGUCACACUGGAACUGAGACACGGUCCAGACUCCUACGGGAGGCAGCAGUGGGGAAUAUUGGACAAUGGGCGAAAGCCUGAUCCAGCCAUGCCGCGUGUGUGAAGAAGGUCUUCGGAUUGUAAAGCACUUUAAGUUGGGAGGAAGGGUUGUAGAUUAAUACUCUGCAAUUUUGACGUUACCGACAGAAUAAGCACCGGCUAACUCUGUGCCAGCAGCCGCGGUAAUACAGAGGGUGCAAGCGUUAAUCGGAAUUACUGGGCGUAAAGCGCGCGUAGGUGGUUUGUUAAGUUGGAUGUGAAAUCCCCGGGCUCAACCUGGGAACUGCAUU
rnacentral:rRNA from 1 species